UGAGUAGACGUCUCCACAAACAUUCAGUUG
rnacentral:piRNA from 1 species